rnacentral:tRNA from 1 species
AGCGAAACGGUGUAAGGGCACAGGAAGUUUUGGUCUUCAAGGGAGUUUAUUAUAUAG